rnacentral:antisense_RNA from 1 species
CUUGAUGGACCCGAGGUGGAGCGGCUGGUCGGCCGGACGGUCCUGGCCGUAGGUGGCGAGCAGGGCGUGGGCCUC